rnacentral:tRNA from 1 species
UCCCUGGUGGCUCAGAGGUUAAAGCAUCUGCCUGGAAUGCUGGAGACACGGGUUCGAUCCCUGGGUCGGGAA